GAUGAACGCUGGCGGCGUGCUUAACACAUGCAAGUCGAACGGAAAGGCUCCUGCUUGCAGGGGUACUCGAGUGGCGAACGGGUGAGUAACACGUGGGUGAUCUGCCCUGCACUUCGGGAUAUGCCUGGGAAACUGGGUCUAAUACCGGAUAGGACGAUGGUUUGGAUGCCAUUGUGGAAAGUUUUUCGGUGUGGGAUUAGCUCGCGGCUUAUCAGCUUGUUGGUGGGGUAAUGGCCUACCAAGGCGUCGACGGGUAGCCGGCCUGAGAGGGUGUACGGCCACAUUGGGACUGAGAUACGGCCCAGGCGCCUACGGGAGGCAGCAGUGGGGAAUAUUGCACAAUGGGCGCAAGCCUGAUGCAGCGACGCCGCGUGGGGGAUGACGGCCUUCGGGUUGUAAACACCUUUCGCUAGGGACGAAGCGCAAGUGACGGUACCUGGAGAAGAAGCACCGGCUAACUACGUG
rnacentral:rRNA from 1 species